CACACAAUACACAAUGGAAACAAAGAGAAAGAUCGGCCAUGGUAGUGUUGGAUUCCUUGUUGGCUUUCUUGUCCAUCUCCCGACGUUUUCCACUUUAGAUGGUGCAGCUCUGUACGUGUACAGACUCGGUCAUACUUCCAACUCCUCCUUCCCAUCUCACCGUUCUCUGUCUCUCUCUCUCUCUCUCUCUCUCUCUUACCGUUUCCUCCCCGCGGGUAAGCAUUGAAUGGUCAACAUUCAAAUGAAGAGCUUCGACUCCCCAAAACCCUUCCAAACCUCUUCCCACCGCUCACUCUUUGAACGAUUCAUCCCUUCGCCACCACGGUCUGCGCUUAUAAGACUCGCCCAUUCCCUUCCCUUCCCUUCUCUCGAUCUUCUUCUUGCUGCAGCCGCGAAACUAAGCUUGUUCAUGGCGUCACCUCGGAGAAGUCGUGAGUCCAACUUGAAGACUAAUCUAGCCUUGGAUGUCGCGAUUCCGACGCACUUCCGGUGCCCGAUAUCGCUGGACCUGAUGAGGGACCCGGUGACGGCUUCCACUGGGAUCACCUACGACCGGCAGAGCAUCGAGACGUGGCAGGAGCUUGGGAACACGUCGUGCCCCGUCACCGGCCAGCAGCUGCAGCACCAGGACCUCAUCCCCAACCACUCCAUAAGGAAGAUGAUACAGGACUGGUGCGUCGCCCACCGGCCCUACGGGUUCGAGAGGAUUCCCACGCCCACGGCACCUGUGAACAGAACCGAGGUCAUGGACGUCCUGUCCGAGAUCGCCACUACCAGCCGGCAAGGCGACGUCGCCGCGUGCGCGCGGUCGGUGGCCAAGGUCACGAACUGGGCCAAGGAGAGCGAGCGGAACCGGCGGCGCUUGGCGUUCGAUGGCAUGACCCGGGUGCUUGCCUCCACGUUCGUCGCCUUUGCCCGUGCGUCUUCCGACGUCGCGGUGGUGCGGAUUCUGGAGGAAGUGUUGGCGGCAAUGGCGAUGCUGCUGCCGCUCGACGAGGAAGCUGCUGCUUGCAUCGGCUCCUCGCCCGAGUCCCUGAAACGCUUGGUCUCGGUCCUCAGGUGCGGAGAUGUGGCCGCAAGGCUGCACGCGGCGUUGACGGUCAAGGAGCUCCUCGCGUCCGGCGGGGCACGAGCGGACGCCAUCGCCGCGACCAAGGGGAUGGGAGAAGCACUGGUCAAGCUGGUCAAAAGGCCCAUCUCCUCCCGCGCCAUGAAGGCGUCUCUCGUCUCCAUCUUCUACAUGGUUAACUCCGACGAGAAGACUGCAACGAGAAUCGUCGAUCUGGGAUUGGUCCCUGUGCUCGUGGAGAUCCUCGUCGACGACGAGAAGAGCAUGUGCGAGAAGGCAUUGGCUGUGCUCGACGGGCUGCUAAGCUGCGAGCGCGGUAGAGAAAAUGCCUGCGGCCACGCCCUGACGGUGCCGGUGCUAGCGAAGAAGAUGUUUCGCGUGUCAGACAUGGCCACCGAGUUCGUGGUGUCAGCCCUGUGGAAGCUCUGCAAGGAUCACAAAGGAGGAGGGAGGGAGAGGUGUUUGCUUGAUGCUUUUCAAGCGGGGACCUUUCACAAGCUCCUACUUCUCUUGCAGGUCGGGUGCGGUGAGGCAACCAAAGAGAGAGUCACCGAUCUUCUCAGGCUAUUGAAUGGUUACAGGGGAAGGAUUCAGUGCGUUGACACCAUGGAUUUCGUGGGACUCAAGAGGCCUUUCGAAUGACUACACUUGAAACAGAGGAACACACUAUUACUUUUUGUCAUACGAUCCAAGUCUAGAUUUCGAAGUCAUAAUGCGUUUGAUUCAACGAAAGCUGGCCCAUCUCUUUCCGACUCUACGCGAACGUGACGCCUCCCCAUGCAAUCCGGCGGACGUCCGGUGGUCGACACCCCGCCACCGCCAUUUACACCCGCGGCCGUCUCCCGAGCUCCUCCAAUCGUCUUCCGCACCCUCUUCGAUCGCCUUCGCCACUGUCACGCAGGUGGCAGGCGGCGGCUGCGGCGCCGAGGUACAACUGGGUCCGGAGGAGGAAGUGGGGCACGUGGGUGGCGGAGGUGAGGCUCCCCAGCAGCCGGGCGCGGCUGUGGCUCGGCUCGUACCCGACGCCAGAGAUGGCCGCCCGCGCCCACGACACGGCCGUGUACAGCCUCCGCGCGCAACUUCCCGGGCCAUCCGCCGGACGUGCCGCCAUCGGCACAAGCUAAGCCGGUACGAGAUACGGGAGGCAGCAGCGCGGUACGCGGCCCGCGAAGGGCCGAAGCGGGAGGAGGAAAGCCGCGAGAAGGUGGUGCGCCCAGGGGAGGGAAGCUUCGGGUCGGGGACGCCGCCGGGUCUGCUGCUUGCGGGGAGUAGUUGCCGGAGUUCACCGAAUUCAGCGCGGGCGGCAUGAGGUGGAGCAUUGAGGAAGAGGAGGAGGAUUUCUGGGUAAGCGGCGGCGGCGGCGUCCAUGAUGACGACAUCGACGGAUCAUCUCCUGUGUGGAAUUUCUCGUAGUACCAAA